UGUUUUAUGGAAUGUGUGCAAGCAAAAGCCAUGUGUGUUCUUGAAAUGCAAAUUAAAACAACCCUGAGAUUGCACCUCACACCAAUCAGAAUGGCUAAGAUUAAAACUCUGGUGACAGCAGAUGCUGGAGAGGAUGUGGAGAAAGAGGGACACUCCUCCACUGCUGGUGAGAUUGUAAACUGGUACAACCACUCUAGAAAUCACUUUGGUGGUUCCUUAGAAAAUUGGACAUAGUAUUACCUGAGGACCCAGCUAUACCA
rnacentral:lncRNA from 1 species